UACGUAGGAUGCAAGCGUUGUCCGGAAUUAUUGGGCGUAAAGAGCGAGCAGGCGGUUUGGAAAGUUGGACGUGAAAUUUUAGGGCUUAACCCUAAAGGGUCGUCCAAAACUCCCAGACUAGAGUGCAGGAGAGGAAAGCGGAAUUCCCGGUGUAGUGGUGAAAUGCGUAGAUAGUCGGGAGGAACACCAGAGGCGAAGGCGGCUUUCUGGCCUGUAACUGACGCUGAGGCGCGAAGGCUGGGGUAGCGAACAGG
rnacentral:rRNA from 1 species